UAUUUCCCCUGACCCCUAGAUACCCUUCCCAUGCCCCCAAAGCAAGUCACAAAGAGGUAAAAUCUGCCCCUUGCUGGCUCCUGGGGAGUCUGGUUUGUAGAAGGAAGACAACAAAAACAGAGACCAUUUAAAAGUUGCUCUGAAAGUGUGUCGUUGUGCAGAUGGUCACCAGAAUAUAUGUUUUCUCAUCUGGAAAGCACUGAGCUCCCAGUUCAACUGUAGUUCAUCAUAAGGUGAUAUUGUAUAUAGUAUAUACAUCGUGCAUAGGAAUGAUGUGGCCCCAAGCCCCCAGACUUUUCCUAGCAUGCAGAAACAUAAGCUGAAUAAAUGGCUAUUAUGCAUAUUGACCUCUGUGGCACUCUGUGAAGAGCAGAAACCAUAUUGGAACACC
rnacentral:lncRNA from 1 species